rnacentral:lncRNA from 1 species
CCACCUUUCUAUUCCCUUCCAGCAAAGUCCAUCUACCUCCAGCAGAGGGCAGUUGGGAGCAUCUCAGCAUGUGGAUGGACUCAAGGGGUCCCCAAAUCAUCCCUACAUUGAGCCCCCAGAGAGUGGGAAAGGGAAGCUUGGCAGAGGAGCAGAUUCUGUUAGACCAGACCAUGAAGGCUGCAUCCAUAGAAGUGAAGGUCCUGAACACAGCGUUGUCCAGGUGGCCUCUUCUGAAACGACGGUCCCUCGGCGGUCCCGCAUGAGCGCCCAGGAACAGCUGGACAGGAUGCAGCGGAACCAGGAGGCCAAACGGAAAUCUGAGGCUGCCCAGCCCUCACCUCUGGGCCACUGGCGAGACUCUCUCAAGCAUGGGUCUAGCCGGCCCCUCCCCAAUGCCCCCCCUGAGCCAUCACCCAAGGAGGGAAUGCAAUUUGGGGAAGUCAAGCCUCCUCGGUGCCCCCCAACCCCUGAGUGGGAGCGACAGCGAGUAAUCCAGCUCUCCUAUGCGCUGGCGACAGAGGCUUCGCAGCGG